GAUGAACGCUGGCGGCGUGCCUAAUACAUGCAAGUCGAGCGAACGGACGAGAAGCUUGCUUUUCUGAUGUUAGCGGCGGACGGGUGAGUAACACGUGGAUAACCUACCUAUAAGACUGGGAUAACUUCGGGAAACCGGAGCUAAUACCGGAUAAUAUUUUGAACCGCAUGGUUCAAAAGUGAAAGACGGUCUUGCUGUCACUUAUAGAUGUAUCCGCGCUGCAUUAGCUAGUUGGUAAGGUAACGGCUUACCAAGGCAACGAUGCAUAGCCGACCUGAGAGGGUGAUCGGCCACACUGGAACUGAGACACGGUCCAGACUCCUACGGGAGGCAGCAGUAGGGAAUCUUCCGCAAUGGGCGAAAGCCUGACGGAGCAACGCCGCGUGAGUGAUGAAGGCCUUCGGAUCGUAAAACUCUGUUAUUAGGGAAGAAAAUAUGUGUAAGUAACUGUGCACAUCUUGACGGUACCUAAUCAGAAAGCAACGGCUAACUACGUG
rnacentral:rRNA from 1 species